UCCUCCAAACCGCCAUCCCUCUCUAUUAAAUCUUCUCCUCAGUCUAUUCUUCUCUCUUUCUACGUUCUCUGCAGCAAGGAAAAAAAAACACAUCAUGCUCGAAUUCAAUUCAAGAAACCCAGAGCUCAAUCAAUUGAAUUACAAAAACUGAAUCUGCAAAAUCCAGUGGGCUACUCCUUUCGGUCCUACAAUUUCACAAUCGAUAUCGGAUUAUCGAGUUUUCAAAAAGGUUACCUUCGCAAGUAAAG